rnacentral:rRNA from 1 species
UACGAAGGGGGCUAGGCGUUGUUCGGAAUUACUGGGCGUAAAGCGCACGUAGGCGGACUAUUAAGUCAGGGGUGAAAUCCCGGGGCUCAACCCCGGAACUGCCUUUGAUACUGGUGGUCUAGAGUCCGGAAGAGGUGAGUGGAAUUCCGAGUGUAGAGGUGAAAUUCGUAGAUAUUCGGAGGAACACCAGUGGCGAAGGCGGCUCACUGGUCCGGUACUGACGCUGAGGUGCGAAAGCGUGGGGAGCAAACAGGG